AAAGACUUGGCGCUAAAGGCCAUUACUUUGCCAAUUAUUACAUUGUUACUAGCUUUGGGAAUCCAGGCUGGGUCUUCACAGAAUAUUAGCAGAGCUAGUUUCCCAAAAGGCUUCAUUUUUGGGACGGCCUCUUUCUGCUUUCCAGGUUGUUUUUUUUUCUUUUUUCAUUUUUUUUCCAGUAAACUAUCCAUGAAAGUUUCAGUCUUUCUUACCCUCAAGAGAGGAAGAUGAAUGCUGUUGCCAACUGGUGCAGUGCAGAUUUUGACAACGAAAGGUGAAAAGGGGUAAAUCAAAUAUCCACAUCGGUGACUGGUGCUGAGAACCAUUGUUGGCUGGUGACAAGCAUUGAAUCGGGGUGGGAAAGAAAAGGGAAGGGAAAGAGGUUUCGUUUGCAG
rnacentral:lncRNA from 1 species